AUGGGGCUCCUGGAGCUCUUCAUCACGGCAUGCAUGCCCGUCCUCAACAUGCUCCUGGUUACUGGUGUUGGAUCGUUCUUGGCAACUGACUCCGCUGGGAUACUGGGGAAAGAAGCAAGGAAACACCUAAACUAUGUAGUGUUUUAUGUAUUCAAUCCAGCUCUUAUUGCAACCUAUCUGGCAAAAACGAUCAUCAUGGAAAGCUUGGCCAAAUUGUGGUUCAUGCCGGUGAAUGUGUUCUUCACUUUCAUCUUCGGGUUGAUCCUCGGUUGGAUCGUCAUAAAAGUCACCGGGGCUCCCCUCAAGUUAAGAGGCCUCAUUUUGGGCUGCUGUUCUGCUGGCAAUCUGGGCAACAUUUUCCUCAUCAUCAUUCCAGCUCUCUGCAAAGAGAAGGGGAGCCCGUUCGGCACGCCUGAUGUUUGCCAGACUUACGGACUAGCCUAUUCAUCGCUCUCAUUGGCUAUUGGUGCCGUCUUUCUGUGGACGGGCGCGUAUAACAUUAUUCGUGCAAAUUCAAAUGUCACUGAAGGAGAUGGCAGCUCGCCUAUAACUCAAACAAAAGUCUUGGUUUCAGGAGGAACCAGAUGUGCAGAUUCAGAAGAUAAUCGAGAUCGUGUCGACGAAUGCACUCUGCCGUUGAUAUCAAAUCGAACCAAAACGAAGGUCCCAUUGAUGGAGAGAGCAAAAGGAUUUAUAUCGUCGGUUUCUGGAGCAAUUGAUCUGAGGAAGCUAUUUGCCCCUUAA
rnacentral:rRNA from 1 species